rnacentral:rRNA from 1 species
AUUGAACGCUGGCGGCAGGCCUAACACAUGCAAGUCGAACGAGUGGCGGACGGGUGAGUAAUGUCGGGGAAACUGCCUGAUGGAGGGGGAUAACUACUGGAAACGGUAGCUAAUACGGCAUAGCAUCAGAUGGGCCAAGAUGGGAUUAGCUUGUGGGUUGGGUAACGGCUCACCAAGGCGACGACCCCUAUCUGGGCUGAGAGGAUGACCAGCCACACUGGAACUGAGACACGGUCCAGACUCCUACGGGAGGCAGCAGUGGGGAAUAUUGCACAAUGGGCGCAAGCCUGCUGCAGCAAUGCCGCGGGUAUGAAGAAGGCCUUCGGGUUGUAAAGUACUUUCAGCGGGGAGGCGUUACCCGCAGAAGAAGCACCGGCUAACUCCGUGCCAGCAGCCGCGGUAAUAC